CGCACGCGCGCGAGACAGAGAGAGAGAGAGGCACAGACACAGGCAGAGGGAGAGGCAGGCUCCAUGCAAGGAGGCUGACAUGGGACUCGAUUCCCGGUCCCCAGGAUCAGGCCCUGGACUGAAGACGGCGCUAAACCGCUGAGCCACCCGGGGUAUCCAGGUCCAGGUUUUAUUUUAUUUUUUUUAAUAUAUUAAUUUCUUAUUGGUGUUCAAUUUACCAACAUACAGAAUAACACCCAGUGCUCAUCCCGUCAAGUGCCCCCAUCAGUGCCCGUCACCCAUUCACCCCCACCCCCCCUCCUCCCCUUCCAUCACCCCUAGUUCGUUUCCCAGAGUUAGGAGUCUUUAUGUUCUGUCUCCCUUCCUGAUAUUUCCCACACAUUUCUUCUCCCUUCCCUUAUUUUCCCUUUCACUAUUAUUUAUAUUCCCCAAAUGAAUGAGAACAUACACUGUUUGUCCUUCUCCGAUUGACUUAUUUCACUCAGCAUCAUACCCUCCAGUUCCAUCCACGUUGAAGCAAAUGGUGGGUAUUUGUCGUUUCUAAUGGCUGAGGAAUAUUCCAUUGUAUACAUAGACCACAUCUUCUUUAUCCACUCAUCUUUCGAUGGACACCGAGGCUCCUUCCACAGUUUGGCUAUUGGGGACAUUGCUGCUAGAAACAUUGGGGUGCAGGUGUCCCGGCGUUUCAUUGCAUCUGUAUCUUUGGGGUAAAUCCCCAGCAGUGCAAUUGCUGGGUCGUAGGGCAGGUCUAUUUUUAACUCUUUAGGGAACCUCCACAAAGUUUUCCAGAGUGGCUGCACCAGUUCACAUUCCCACCAACAGUGCAAAAGGGUUCCCUUUUCUCUACAUCCUCUCCAACAUUUGUGGUUUCCUGCCUUGUUAAUUUUCCCCAUUCUCACUGGUGUGAGGUGGGAUCUCAUUGUGUUUUGAUUUCUAUUUCCCUGAUGGCCAGUGAUGCGGAGCAUUUUCUCAUGUGCAUGUUGGCCAUGUCUAUGUCUUCCUCUGUGAGAUUUCUGUGCAUGUCUUUUGCCCAUUUCAUAAUUGGAUUGUUUGUUUCUUUGGUGUUGAGUUUAAUAAGUUCUUUAUAGAUCUGGGAAACUAGCCCUUUAUCUGAUACGUCAGUUGCAAAUAUCUUCUCCCAUUCUGUAGGUUUUCUUUGAGUUUUGUUGACUGUAUCCUUUGCUGUGCAGAAGCUUCUUAUCUUGAUGAAGUCCCAAUAGUUCAUUUUUGCUUUUUGUUUCUUUCGCCUUCGUGCCUUCGUGGAUGUAUCUUGCAAGAAGUUACCGUGGCCGAGUUCAAAAAGGGUGUUGCCUGUGUUCUCCUCUAGGAUUUUGAUGGAAUCUUGUCUCACAUUUAGAUCUUUCAUCCAUUUUGAGUUUAUCUUUGAGUGUAUGGUGUAAGAGAAUGGUCUAGUUUCAUUGUUCUGCAUGUGGAUGUCCAAUUUUCCCAGCACCAUUUAUUGAAGAGACUGUCUUUCUUCCAAUGGAUAGUCUUUCCUCCUUUAUCGAAUAUUAGUUGACCAUAAAGUUCAGGGUCCACUUCUGGGUUCUCUAUUCUGUUCCAUUGAUCUAUGUGUCUGUUUUUGUGCCAGUACCACACUGUCUUGAUGACCACAGCUUUGUAGUACAACCUGAAAUCUGGCAUUGUGAUGCCCCCAGCUAUGGUUUUCUUUUUUAAAAUUCUCCUGGCUAUUCGGGGUCUUUUCUGAUUCCACACAAAUCUUAAAAUAAUUUGUUCUAACUCUAUGAAGAAAAUCCAUGGUAUUUUGAUAGGGAUUGCAUUAAACGUGUAAAUUGCCCUGGGUAACAUUGACAUUUUCACAAUAUUAAUUCUGCCAAUCCAUGAGCAUGGAAUAUUUUUCCAUCUCUUUGUGUCUUCCUCAAUUUCUUUCAGAAGUGUUCUAUAGUUUUUAGGGUAUAGAUCCUUUACCUCUUUGGUUAGGUUUAUUCCUAGGUAUCUUAUGGUUUUGGGUGCAAUUGUAAAUGGGAUUGACUCCUUAAUUUCUCUCUUUCUUCAGUCUCAUUGUUAGUGUAUAGAAAUGCCACUGAUUUCCCAGGCAUUGAUUUUGUAUCCUGCAAUGCUACCAAAUUGCUAUAUGAGUUCUAGCAAUCUUGGGGUGGAGACUUUUGGGUUUUCUAUGUAGAGUAUCAUGUCAUUGGCGAAGAGGGAGAGUUUGACUUCUUCUUUGCCAAUUUGAAUGCCUUUAAUGUAUUUUUGUUGUCUGAUUGCUGAGGCUAGGACUUCCAGUACUAUGUUGAAUAGCAGUGGUGAGAGUGGACAUCCCUGUCUUGUUCCUGAUCUUAGGGGAAAGGCUCCCAGUGCUUCCCCAUUGAGAAUGAUAUUUGCUGUGGGCUUUUCGUAGAUGGCUUUUAAGAUGUUGAGGAAUGUUCCCUCUAUCCCUACACUCUAAAGAGUUUUGAUCACCAAUGGAUGCUG
rnacentral:lncRNA from 1 species